UAAAGCUAUCAGACAGAAGUGUAACAGCAAAUAAGAUGUAGCGUGCAGUUGUGUAGAAGCACUCCUUCCUGAAAAAGGUUACAAUGAGCAAAAAGUUGAUGCAAAGAAAUAUAAUCACCAGGAUCUGCACAAUAAUGACUUUGUCAUUGAUCUGCUUAAGUGAGACCUCACCACCAGCCGAUGAGUUGUUAUCAGCCAUCACUUUUCUAAACAAAUAUACAGAUUAUUGAGGUACUUCCAAGUGUUAAAUUAUUAUUAUUAAAUGUCUCAGUGAAAAGAAAAUUAGAUUCCUAUCACAAAAAGACAAAACCCUUCCCUGCAGUAGCAUAGCGUUGUGGCACACAUUUCCAAAGACAGAUGUUGUCUGUAGAGGUCUUUGCAGUGUUCUGAGUGAGGGCUGCACAAUAAUAUUUUAUAGGAGCGACUAGAACACAUGUAGAGUGAGGGCAAAUUAAACUUUGCUCACCACAGUGUCAUCAUUGCCUCUUUCUGCAAGUCUCCCUGAGUGACUAUCACUAGACACAUCCAGGCUGUUGGUUAAUGUCAACUUUAUUAUCCCAAGUAGGGAAAUUAGGCUGGUCAAGGUGAAGAAGUACAAUAUUCAGUCAUUGUCAGGCUAUUGAAUUAAUACCUGUUGCUUCUUGUUCUCUUCUCUCAAUAAUUCCAGUGAGGCUACACAGGCAUCUAUAGAAAUGUAAAAUAAUGUAGAUUUGGACAUAAGGGCUUGGUGGAUUGUUGGGACUAACUCU